AUGUGCUCUAGAAUGGUUUCCUGGACCUUUAGCACGGGAAUGACACAGUUCGUAACCUUGGUCAAACAGGUUUUGAACCUGUCUCAGAAGAAUGCAGUCAUCUCUAAUCUGGAAUUUCACAUGAAUUUGCAUCAUAUUCAGCAUACAUUUUCAUCAGCCUUUUGCAAACACAAAAGCAAGAAAAGGAGACAACGCUUCUUUUGGUGCAUCCAUGAAAAAAAGUGUCUUCUUACAUUGCUACACGGCGGAAUCUGAGGAGAUGAGACGGCUUUCGUUCUGGCAGACCAUAUGCAUCUAUGAAUAUGCAUGAAAAUCUGUCAGCUGGUUAACAAGAAGGACAUAUAUGCAAGACAGGAAGCCAUAGGUCAGUAAAUUGAGGUAUGGAAAUUGCUAACCUCUGUCUCUAUGAGGACGUAUAUUCUAUGAAACUGUGGACUGAUUCCUAGCAGGGAACCUGUCAAUAUUUUUAGACUGGUUUAGCUGUAAUAGGACCGAUUCCUAGCAGGGAACCUGUCAAUAUUUUUUAGACUUGUUUAGCUGGAAUAGGCCACAUAUGUUUUAUAUUACCAUGUAAAAUCACAGAAGUUGAAGCUGAUGUUUAAUCUGAGACAAAAUUUUAUUUUCUUAAUUAAUGAAAUAUCCUUUACUAAACCCAUUGUGACAUAAUAUGUUGAAAAGCGGUCAUAAAUAAUCAAAAUUAUAAUCUAACAUUCUUGAAAUGUUUAACAUCUAGCAUUCAUUUUUAAUAUCUGGGGACAGGACAUCUGUUCCAAAUGUGUUUCAGAAAAAGUACUCCUUCCUUCCUUUUUUUCUUAGAGGUUCAAAUUUUAAAAUAGCACACAAAGCUUUGUAAACAUAGGUAUUGAAUCUCUUGAAAAAAUAAAUAAUUCAUUUGGUAGUACCA
ensembl:lncRNA